AGAUGUGAGGGCUAUCUGGCUUGACAUCUGUCACCCCAUUGAUCACCAGGGUUGAUUCAGCUGAUCUGGUUGGCUAGGCGGGUGUCCCCUUCCUUACCGCUCCAUAUGUGUCCCUCCUGAAGCUCCGCGUUCAGUCGAAGAGGAUGACCCUCCCCGAUAGAGGAGGACCAUUCUUCAGUCAAGGGUAUACGAAUAGCUGCACUCCCCUGCUAGAACCUAACAAGCUUUCAAGGUCUGUUUGCAGGAGAGUGUAGAGUAGUCAAGCUUCCAAGACUCCAGAUGCAUCCAAAUGAGGUGCUGCAUAUGGCAGUCUGCCUUUGUUU
ensembl:misc_RNA 7SK 7SK RNA